rnacentral:misc_RNA from 1 species
CAAAAUUCAAUAGCUGGUAUUAUAACAGAGAGAGAUUAUCUAAGGAAGAUUAUAGUGCAAGGCAGGUCUUCCAAGUCUACCAAAGUUGGGGAUAUCAUGACUGAGGAGAACAAACUUAUCACUGUGACACCUGACACCAAGGUUUUGCGAGCUAUGCAAUUGAUGACUGAUAACCGAAUUAGGCACAUACCCGUCAUCGACGACAAGGGCAUGAAGGGCAUGGUGUCAAUUGGAGACGUGGUUCGGGCUGUGGUGAGCGAGCACCGAGAGGAGCUGGACCGCCUGAAUGCUUAUAUUCAGGGAGGUUAUUGAGUUGCUGCUAUUGACUUUGGUUGCUUGGUGUAUGAUGUUUCGAAACACCAGAAUGCUUCAGCUCUUGUACAUAUGAUGAUGGCCUGGUAUGCGCACUCUCUUAUUAAUAUGGUCGUGCUUCCUGUUGCUUCUAGUACAAUAACCGACGGAUGUAAUAAUAGACGGUUACUUUGCUUUGCAAAAUUACACCUGAAUUUGCAUUAUCAUUGAUGGAGAUGACAAAUCUCCCUCGAGUUAGC